ACUUCACUCCUCUAACGCUAUCUCUCUUUUUUGUUUUUAUCUAUAGAAGUCAUCGCACUGAAAAUUUGGUAGAAAAUAUAGUUGCAUUCACAACUUACGCCUCAACUUUUUUUAUAUUUUUUUCUCACUGUUUAUGUACGUUGGAAGCAGUUAAAACUGAUUUAAACAUCAACAUUUUAAAGUUCAAGCAAACAGCCAUGAAAAAAUUUCAAAAUAUUUUUGAACUUUGAUAAAGGUGUCAUCUAUGGCUCUAAUAAAUUUUAGCUUAAAAUAUAACUUUUAUAAAAGAGUAACAAAAAAAAUAGAGCUGUUAUUAAGGAGUAAACUGAAUCAUUUUUAAUAGUUUAAGGGGUAAAAUGAGCCCAAAAAAUAGUUCAGGGUUAAGUGAUCCAUUGAAUUAGUUCGGGGAGUACUAAAAUGAACUUUUUUUCUAAAAUUUUUAUGGCAAUUAGGAAUAAAUGCAAAGUAUAUAUGGGUGUAAUUGCGUAAAAAGUUGUGUAAAUUCGGUCAUGUCAGACAAAUGUCAGCCCAAACUAGGCCCGUUUAAUGCUAAGACUUGUCAGUCCGAAGGCCCAAUCUAACUUGCGGGCUUGUGGCCUGUGCGAAAACUCUCGUGGUCAAAUCUGAAUAUCCGAUACUUCCGUUUCAAAUGCAAUCCAAGGCCGAAGCUGAGAGAGUGCAAAGCCGAGCCACGGUGGAAUGGCGGCCACUCUUUUCCCCACCUUAUCGCCGCCGGUCUCCUCCUCCGACGCCUCCUCGCCCCCGCCCCCUCCCCGCCGGUACGGUCUCCUACCUUCCGCUCCCUCUCCACAAUGCCCUCCGCCGCCGGUUCACGGGCCACCCCCGAUCACGGCAACCUCCUCAUGCUCGGCAUCGAGACCAGCUGCGACGACACCGCCGCCGCCGUGGUUAGAGGCGAUGGCGAGAUCCUAAGCCAGGUGGUAUCUUCCCAAGAAGAUUUACUCGUGAGGUGGGGAGGCGUCGCACCGAAGAUGGCUGAGGAAGCUCAUUUGCUUGCGAUUGAUCGGGUUGUCCAGAAAGCACUUGAUAAUGCAAAUGUGUCAGAAAGUGAUCUUUCUGCAGUGGCUGUCACCGUAGGACCAGGACUUAGUUUAUGCCUCAGAGUUGGUGUUCACAAAGCUCGAAAAAUAGCAAAAUCAUUUCACCUGCCUAUUGUUGGAGUUCAUCAUAUGGAGGCACAGGCAUUAGUUUCCAGACUGGUAGGUCAACAUGAUGUUUGCUUUCCUUCUCCUUUUGUGAACUUCCAGGUUUCGAUGCGACAACACAAAGAUUGCAAUUUCUCUUAUGCUGGUCUGAAGACUCAAGUUCGAUUGGCUAUUGAAUCCAGAAACAUAUCAACAGAUGAUAUUCCUAUUUCAUCUGCUACAAAAGAUGACAGACAAAUAAGGGCGAACAUUGCUGCCUCUUUUCAGUGAGUUGCUGUUUUACAUUUGGAAGAAAGAUGCCAACGAGCAGUUGAAUGGGCCUUGAAGAUGGAGCCUUCUAUUAAAUACUUUGUUGUUUCAGGAGGCGUUGCAUCAAACCAGUAUGUCAGAACUCAUUUGAAUCAGAUUGCUGAGAAGAAUGGCCUACAGCUCGUAUGCCCUCCACCAAGGCUUUGCACUGACAAUGGUGUCAUGAUUGCUUGGACUGGUAUUGAGCAUUUCAUUGCAGGCAGAUUUGAUGAUCCUCCUGCUGUUGAUGAGCCUGAUGAUUUGCAGUAUGACCUGCGUCCAAGGUGGCCUCUUGGUGAGGAAUAUUCAGAUGGAAGAUGUGUUGCACGGUCAAUGAAAACUGCUCGAGUCCACCCAUCACUCGCAUCGAUGAUACAGGGUUCUGUUCAUUAGUAGUUUAGUGAAAAUUGCAGGAGCAAUACAAAGAUCCUGUUGAUAUAGAAAUUGGAUUGUGUUUAGGAAGUAUGCUAUACUACAUUGAUAGUUUGUAUAUUUUGGUAUAUUCCAUUCACUUUUAUUUAGUUGACUCACUCUUUGAGGUAUCAGUACCAGACACACAAAAGUUACUUCUGGCAUUUGUAUUGUUUGGACUGCUAUCCUUUACAUUGAUAAUAUUAGCAAAUACACUCUCCUAAACAAGUGGCGUUCACUGGAGAGAAGACA